rnacentral:rRNA from 1 species
AACGAACGCUGGCGGCAGGCCUAACACAUGCAAGUCGAGCGAAGCCUUCGGGCUUAGCGGCGGACGGGUGAGUAACGCGUGGGAACGUGCCCUUUGGUACGGAAUAGCCCCGGGAAACUGGGAGUAAUACCGUAUGUGGUCGAGAGACGAAAGAUUUAUCGCCAAAGGAUCGGCCCGCGUUGGAUUAGGUAGUUGGUGGGGUAAUGGCCUACCAAGCCGACGAUCCAUAGCUGGUUUGAGAGGAUGAUCAGCCACACUGGGACUGAGACACGGCCCAGACUCCUACGGGAGGCAGCAGUGGGGAAUCUUAGACAAUGGGGGAAACCCUGAUCAAGCCAUGCCGCGUGAUCGAUGAGGGCCUUAGGGUUGUAAAGAUCUUUCAGUGGGGAAGAUAAUGACUGUACCCACAGAAGAAGCCCCGGCUAACUCCGUGCCAGCAGCCGCGGUAAAAC